GACGGAGGGUGGCAAGCGUUGUUCGGAAUUACUGGGCGUAAAGCGCGGGCAGGUGGCCUUUUAAGUCCUUUGUGAAAUUCCGGAGCUCAACUCCGGAAUGUGCAUAGGAUACUGGAAGGCUAGAGACUGGUAGAGGCGAGCGGAAUUCCUGGUGUAGCGGUGGAAUGCGUAGAUAUCAGGAAGAACACCGGUGGCGAAGGCGGCUCGCUGGGCCAGUUCUGACACUCGAUCCGACGAAAGCGUGGGGAGCAAACAGG
rnacentral:rRNA from 1 species